AUUUCUUAUCUAAAUAAAUUCUUAAUCUGUAGUUUUUUUUUUUGAAAGUGAAACCUUAAUCUAGCUAUGAAUGUGUGUUGUCCGUGAAAAUAAAAAUAGCCUUUUUUGUGCCUUUAUUGGUAAUUUAGUAUAUGUUUACAAAGUCAACAAAUACUUGACAAUAAAAUAAAAAAAGGUCCAACUGUCAACAAUGGAGAUAUGAAUAAAAGCUCCUUUUCUUUUGUGAGGUUUUUUUUUUUGUUUGGUUACAAAGGGUGCUUAAAAAGCACAAACGAAAGAGGAAAAGAGACUAAAUACUAAAGCAGUUGCCAGUUUUCCUAACUCUAGUGACUGAACAUAAAUCAUCAAGGAAGUCAUCAGCAGCAUGAACAGAAGGGCUGCCAAAGCAAACAAGACCAAGCUCAUGAAGGAUACUGCAUUUGGCUAGAGAGUCCGCUGUAGCAUUGCACUCUCUAAAAAUAUGAGAGAGCUGAGCAUCAUCCAUCUUGUUCAUCAUGUUUUCGCAACCACGAAGAAGGGAACCCAAAGGAUGAAUAUCAAAGUUGUGAGGUUUUGACAAACAAUAAAUCUUUACCCAACGUUUUCUUUUCUAUUAAAAUCCAUACUUGUAAAAGCACAUUUGUCCAACCACUCCAUCGCAAAACUGUUGCGGCAUCAUAUCUCGUCCGACAACAAAGCCAAGCGGUGAGGCCUAAUAACUAGACUAUACCAGGGUUGCUGCCAGACUGGGCUGUGUUCAUAGUCUUGAAGGCCGCCACCUAGCUCCUUAUAGUUUACUUCUUGUAGCAUAUACCAAACUAAAUGAUAUCAUAUCAUGGGAGGGGUUUUAAUGAGGACUUCUUCGUUUCAUAAUGUUUUUGAUCACAUAUUCACAUCUCAAUCGUUUAGUUUAUAGAUAUAUAUAUAUAUAUAUAUAUAUAUAUGAGUAGAUCAGCUCUACAAAUUUUCAUCCAAAUUGAAAAAUCGUUAAGAAAUUCAUAAAUGUGAUUUUACCGAUUAUAAACUUGAACAGCUCAUGUUUUACAGAUUUGGAUCAUUCAUUGAUUUGAUUUAGUUCGAUUUCCUGACGAUCUUCAAUUUGGCUGAAAAUUUAUAUGUAUAUGUAAAAAUUAAAAGGUUGAGAUGGAAAAAUGUGAUUGAAAAGUGGUUGUAAUAAACCAUUAAUGGAAAAGUCAUCAACUGGUUCUCAAACUAAAUGGUCCUCAUUAUAACCCCUCCCGGCCUCUCCCAUCGUAUAAUUAUUAGUGAUUUUUUUUUUCUUGUUUAAGAAUCGAUCUCGCAUCAUUUAGAGAUAUCAACCAAUAGAGACGGAAGAGCUGAAGAGACACAAAACGUUAGGGCUGGACAUGGGACUGGAUGUGACGAGAUUUGGUGAAUCCCGUCCCGUCCAUAAAAUAAAAGAACAGGAUGGGACGGUACAGGAAUGCCAUUUUUAAGAAUUGAUCCCGUCCCGUCCCGUUCCGAUUUGUGAUGGGCCGGAUCGGGACAGGAUUGGGUCGUCCCGACAUAAUAGCCAAAAAAGAAAAUCAUCCAAAAAUAUUAAAAAUUAAUAAAAUAAAUUAAAAAAGUAAUUAAUGUUCAUAAUAAUACAAAUUAAGAAAACUCUUAACAAUUUUAAUUCCUCAAUUUAUUAUCUCCAAAAUAUCUAUAUAAAGUCCUUUGCUUUUUCCUUGUAUUAUGAAAAAUUAAGGAAACUUCUUAACAAAUUAAGAAAACUCUUAACAAUAAAACCCUAUAUAAAGUAAUAAAUUAUCGAUAAAUGAAUAUUGUUCAUUUAUCGAUAAUAUAAUAACCUCCCUAUAGUAUAAUUUUUCAUGUUUCUAACAUUAUUUAUUUAUAGAGGUUUUAUUAUAGAUAGAAGAGAAAGGUUGUAAGUGUCCUUGUGAGGGUGAGCCCAAAUAGGGAGUGCAUGAAAUGAAAGUGUCAUUGAGAAAUCAUCUGAGAGGUGUCAUUGAUUCAUACAAUCUAAAAUAUGGACGUAUAUGAUCUGAUAGAACUUAUGAAAUGGACGUAUAUGAUUUAAUACAACAUAAAAAAUUAGAUAUUUUAAUAUUGCGGGAUGGAUAGGAUUUUUCGAGAUAGUCCCGAUCCCAUCCCGUUCCUUUUCAAAAUGGGACGGGAUGGUACGGUAUAUGCAUUUUUAAAACUCUAUCUCGUCUUGUCCUGCUAACUUUCGGUACAGGACCGGUACAGGAUCAGGAUUUUGGUACUAAGUGCCCAGUCCUACAAAACGUUACAUCAACGUGAGUGUGUGCACACCUCAUCUUCAGUAUUACAUUUUGGAGAAAUUCUUAGGUCCAACAACUGCACCACCUGGCACAUGCGCACCCAACCACCUUUUGACACGUGUUUUUUUUUUUCACACCUGCCUUCUUCUUCUUCUUCUUCUUCCUCCUUUCUCCGGUGGAUUUUCUUCUUGCUUUCUCCGGCGAAGCUACUUCUUCCUUUCUUUUCGACGCCGCCGAAGGUCCCUACGGCUUCUCUGAAGGUCGUAUAGUCCCUGCGGCUUCUCCGGCACCACGGAGAGCAUGGACCGGACCACCACCUUGAGCUUCGGCGAGCGGCCAGGACCUUCGGAUAGUCAUAGAUGAUCGCCAUAGAUGAAAUAUGAGAGAGAGGGUUUCUAGUUCGCAUUUUCAUGAUGAUCGACGACAGCGUCGAAGAGGAAGGGAAAGGAAGGAGAUCUGUCGGAAAGAAGAAGAAGAAGAAGAAGGCAGGUAGUAAAAAAAAAAAUAAAAAAAUAAAAAUAAAAACAUGUGUCAUGUUGUGAGUGGUGGGUUGCAUAGAUGACGUGGUGGGGUUGUUGCACCUAAAAAUUUCUCUACAUUUUGUGUUGCCUACGCGCUUUCCCCUAACUCAACUCUUCUCCCUAUUUUAAUUGAUUCCACGCGGAAAUAGGUACCAAUCAACCACCCAACUGUUCUCUAACCUUCCAGAUUCGCAUUCUUAACUUCCUUCUUCGGCCAUUCUCAUCCACGCGUCCUCACACUAUUCGCUGGGAGCCAAAGCCAAAUCGAAGCAUCCGAUCGGGGCCCAUACGGAAACUCUAGCUGUUACUCCAAGUUUAACGCGUCGAGUGGGACUCAGCAGAAUCCCUAUAUAAGUAGUUGGUUUCACGAACCCGAAUUUCAGUUAUACUCGAUCUCUUUUCUUCUGCUUCCUCUCCUUCACAUAGAAAAGCUAGAGUACCACAAAACGAAACUAUGUCGUCGAGGAAUUUGAGAGGCGGCGGCGUUGGAUCUUCGGCGGAGGAGUUGAAGAAGAUCUUCAACAAGUUCGACAAGAACGGCGACGGGAAGAUCUGCCGCGACGAGCUCAGGGAGAUCUUCCGUGAGCUCGGCUCCGAAACGACGCCGGAGGAGGUCAAGACCAUAAUGGCCGAGUUCGACAAGGACGGCGACGGUCGCAUUGACCUCGACGAGUUCGCCGAGAUUCUCAACGGCGGAUCCACCAAGGAUCUCCGUGACGCCUUCGACCUCUACGACCUCGACAAGAACGGCCGCAUCUCCGCGAGUGAACUGCACGAAGUUCUUAAGCGAUUGGGCCAGAAGUGCUCGCUCAAGGACUGCGCCAAGAUGAUCGGCUCCGUCGACGCCGACGGCGAUGGCCACGUCAACUUCGAGGAAUUCAAGAAGAUGAUGAAGAAAUAAUCAUAAGGUAGGUUCUAUAUCAAGGGAUUAGAUUAGUAGUAGCUCAUGAUCUGGAUUAGGUGUAUAAAUUUCUUUAUCAUUGCUAUUUUCUAUGGUUAUGGUUAACUAGCUGCGAGAAUUAAAUUUGACCUGAAUUUCAAUUGGCUACUUUUACUUGCUUUGUUUGGUAAAACCUAUAAAGAGUUGAUGUGGAGGUUCCAUUGCUGACAUCAACACGGAAUUGGACUUUGCGCAAAAGUCUUUAAUUGUCUCUACCUUUGAAUAUUUUUGUUUUUGACUUAUUCAGGUCCGUAUCAUUCUACCAUAUAUAUAGGUUUUUAGUUUAUUAUGUUCAUCACAACCGUACAUCAUAAUCUAAGUUCAAAACCUAUGAUUGAUUUAAAAUUUAAAAAUGUAAUCUCGACCCCAACGGCCAACUUGACUUAAAAUAGAAUUUAUCUAAAACUUAUUUUUUUUGACUCAACUAGUUAUGAAGAAUCCAAUUAUUCGAGAGUAGUAGAGCAUCGUCCCACUGUCUACUAUUAAUUAUCAAAAUUAUAUAUAACUAAACUAAUGGGUCAAUACCCACUAGUCUUAAUUUUAUGAAUUUUAUUUCCACUAACAAAAUCAAAUAAUAAGAUAUAGGAUGAUUAAGAUGAUUAAUGUUGAAAAUAGGUUUGGAUAUCUAUUAGGUGUAGUUGGAAAUUGAGUUAGCAUCGUUUAGAGCAAGUUCACCCGUUGAGUUAGAAUGAACAUAAUGACCUUGGUGGGUCACUCUAGGUCACUGUGACCGGACAACAGUUUUCACCCGCCAGAAAUAUGAGAUUGCUACCACGUGGCAGUGACUGUUUAUAUCUACUAGGUGUAGUUGGAAAUUGAGUUAGCGUUGUUUAGAGCAAGUUCACCCGUUGGGUUAGAAUGAAUAUAAUGACCUGUGUGGGCCACUCUAGGUCACUGUGACUGGGCAGCAGUUUUCACCCAUAAAAAAUGUGAGAUUGCUGCCACGUGACAGUGAUUGCUUAUAAAUUUUUUAAAAAAAAAAAAACGUUUUUAAGUGUGAAUAAUGAUUUUUAGAAUAAUAAAAAUUAAUUACUAAUGUAAGCAAAUAGUAAAUAUUAAUUACAAUAUAAAAUAUAAGUGAAUUUAAGAAAAUGUAAAUAUUAAAACAUUAUGAUGAUUAGUAAUGUUUUAGGAUAUUCCAUAUAUGUAUCUUGGUCUUAUGCCAUCAGGAUGUAUAGUUAGAAUAUGACUAUGUAUUCCUUAUCAUUACCAUAUUGGUACUUUGUAAUUUCUUAUAUAAAUUACUCUUAUUAAUGAAUAAGAUGAUGAUUCUUUAUUCUCUUAUUAGAUCUUUUUGUCUCUACUGUUUUUAUAAAGAAGAUUAUUUAUUAUUUAGAGAAUAUAAAAUAUGAUGUAAUUAGAUGUUUAUGUUAAUUAAUAUAGACGACAAAACCUAAAAAAUAGGUCUAUAUUAAUACAAACAGAUGUUUAUACAAACAAAAUUUAUUUUAAUUUUAUAACAAUUUCUAAUUUUUUAAAAUCAUUUUUAGAUGUUUUUUAUAACCAAGCAAAAUGACAAAAAAGUGGUUUGCAAGCUACUUUGAUUGGAUGAGAUCAUGCCGUGUUCCUCAGGCGGGAAAGGAGAGGGUGACGCCUCCUUCACGUGGAUUAAAGAAACAAGCUGACCUAACCACUUUUGGCUUUAGGCUGAGGUGGAAGAAUUCAACCUGGGGUGGAUUUCUCAUCUAGCCUGGGUUAGUUCUCUCACAAAAAAUCUCACCUGGGUUGAAUUGAGGAAAAAACCCAUUCAUGGGUGGAAGGUGAGUUUUUUCCUCUUGGGUUAGAUUCCUAGGUGUCAUCUAACCUCGAUUGGAUUUUUUAGAAAUGGUGGACUUGCUCUUAAGAGCUCUGCUAGGGUUUCUAGGUUUUGUUUUCCAACGUCGCUUGGCACCCUUUCUUCUUGACGAUCAUGUCGAACAACGAUGCCAAUCGAUUUGUGGUUGCCUUGGCUGUUGAUCACAAAAGCAAAGUGUCAUUUGAGGCUGUCGGAGCUGCCGCGGUUUCACCACACGACUUUGUUGUUGGGAGGUUACUUUCUCUGAAAAAGCAACCGAACUUUAAGGCUCUCAUAAGGACGUUGUCAUCAGUCGGGGGUCUUAAGAAUUGGCUCAUUAUGAGAGUUGAAGGAGAUCGCUUCACGAUGCGUUUCAACCUCGCCUGAGGAUGAUCAACAUGUCCUCAACGACACCUGGUUCUUCGACCGGAAUUUAUUUUUGGUCAUGCCUUAUGACAGAUUGUGUUAAGCUUCUCAGGUCUCUAUUCUCACCUAUCCGGUUCGGAUAGAGAUCUUGGGGCUAACUUAGGCUCUGUAUACAGUAGAGGCGGUGACAAUGAUAAGAUCGACUUUGGGGGUGAUCGAAGAUUUGGACAAGCCUGGUAUAAGGCGAGGAGAGCGAGCAUGAGUUUUGGUGCGUCACCGGAUUGUUGAUCUUGUCAAGCAGGCCUACCAGCUGAUGUCCUUUGUCUUUGGCUCUGUAAGGGUCACGGUUUUUAACCUUCAAUUCAGGUACGAGAGAGUGUUUGGGUUUUGUAAGACUUGUGGAUUGCUUGAGCAUGGUCUUACAGGCUAUGAGGGACCGCCAUAUAUGUUAGGUGUGGUGCUUCUUGAUGGUGGUUUUGCCGGUGUAGUCGGAAUGGAGAAUGUAGAUUUGAACAAAGGCCUUCCUACCCAAAACCCUAACCCUAACCUCAUCUCAAUUAGGUUUUGGUUAGGGCUAAGGAAGGAUUAGGGCCGAUGGGAGUGUCCUCAAAGCUUGGACUUAGGCAGUUCAGUCACGAAGUCCAUAGAAAUUUGCUCCCACUUUCAAGUAGGAAUAGGUAAUGGCUUCAACAUACCUCCAGGUCUCUGAUGCUCUGCCUUCACUUGGUGACAAGUGAGGCACUUGGACACAUACUCUGCUACAUCUUUCUUCAUCUCAUUCCACCAAAACUGCCUACGUAGAUCUUUAUACAUCUUGGUGCUCCCUGGGUGUACUGUAUAACGAGAUCGAUGUGCCUCCCAAAUGAUCUCCCUUUUGAGAUCAACACAAUCUGGAACACACAAUCUCAAUCCAUACCUCAAUCCACCAUUUAAUCCAACCGAUCACUCAGAACGACAAUCAUCCAUCAAGUCCACCACUAACUCCGCCAGCUUUGUACGUGAGAACUCGUCAUGUACUUGGCCCUGAAUGAUCUUGGAAAUCAAGGUAGGUUGCAUAGAGGUGCUUCUAAGGAAGAUCCCCUGCUCCCCGGGUGAUGGCAGAAGGUCAAACUCAGAUGCAGUCUCCAACAUGAGCCACUCUUGCACCAUGAUAGAGGCGACUAUACCCCUAGGCUUUCUGCUCAAUGCAUUCGCCACUACAUUGGCUUUCCCGGGGUAAUACUCCAAUGUGAAGUCAUAGUCCUUAAGGAGCUUCAUCCACCUCCUCUGCCUCAUGUUCAAAUCCUUCUGAGAGAAUAAAUACUUCAAACUUUUAUGAUCAGUAAAGAGUUCAAACUUCUCUCCAUACAACUAAUGCCUCCAAAUCUUCAAGGCAAAUACCACCGCAGCUAGCUCUAAGUCAUGAGUGGGUAAUUCUUCUCAUGAACCUUCAAUUGUCUAGGGCCAUACGCCACAACGCAGCCUAGCUGCAUCAGCACACAACCCAAACCCUGAUGAGAUGCAUCGCUAUAGACGACAUAGCCAACACCGCUAAUGGGAAUGACCAACACUGGGGCGGUAGUCAGCCUAGUCUUCACCUCCUUAAAUGCCUUCUCACACUCCUCGGUCCACACAAACUUGGCAUUCUUCUUUGUCAACUUGGCCAAGGAAGAGGCAAUACUAGAAAAUCCCUCAAUAAAUCUCUGGUAGUAUCCUGCCAACCCAAAGAAACUACAAAUCUUCGUAGGAGUAGUAGGACGGCUCCAACUCAACACUACCUCCACCUUAGAGGGAUCCAUCGAAAUCCCCUCCUUUGAUACCACAUGACCAAGGAACUUGACCUCUUCCUUCCAAAACUAACACUUCCCGAACUUAGCAUACAAUUUGGCCUUCCUAAGAACCUAUAGUAUGAUCCGUAGAUGCUUAUCAUGAUCCUCCCCGGUCUUAGAGUAAAUCAAAAUAUCAUCCACAAAUACUACCACAAACACAUCCAGAUAAGGAUUGAAGAUGCGGUUCAUAAAAUCCAUAAAAGCAGCAGGCACAUUGGUUAGACCAAAAGGCAUGACAACAAACUCAUAAUGCACAUACCUAGUCUUGAAAGUGGUCUUCAGAAUAUCCUCCUCCUUCACCCUCAACUGGUGAUAACCGGACCUCAGGUCAAUCUUAGAGAACACCGUAGCACCUCUAAGCUGAUCAAACAAAUCAUCAAUCCUAGGCAAGGGAUACAUAUUCUUGAUGGUCACCUUGUUCAACUCUUGAUAGUCCACACACAACCGGAGUGUAUCAUCCUUCUUCCUCACAAACAACACUACUCCACCCCAAGGCGAGGUGCUAGGUCUAAUGAAUCCCUGCGUGAGAAGACCCUCAAUCUGAACCUUCAACUCCUGAAGUUCAGUUCUUCCCAUCUGAUAAGGAGUCUUUGAUAUCAGCGAAGUACCUGGUACCACAUUUAUGGCAAACUCCACUACCCUCUUAGGAGGUAACCCCGGAAUCUCCUGGAACACAUCACUAUACUCAGAGACUACUGCAAUAUCCGCAAUACCCACAGUACUACCUGUAGCCUCGAUGUGUGUUAAAACUCCUUCCUACAUGGUCGUGUCCAACCUAUGGCAACAAUAGCGAAAACUCGACUGUCCAGGAAUGUAGAAUGACACUACCAUGUCAAAACAGUCAAUCAAAGCAUAGUUUGGCCUUAGCCUGUGCCGGAGGUAACUGUCUCUGCUGGUUACCCUGCCUUCCAGCCUAAAGUCGGGUGUAAUCCCUGGCAAAAUGUCCUGCCUGCCCACAAAUGAAGCAUCCCUGCCUCCUUGGCUUCGUGUAAGCCGAAGAGAAGUGGCUUGGCUCACCACAAGUGAAACACCUUAAGGGUGUUGCCUGCCUAAUAGGUGGAGCCCUAAUAAGUGCAGCCGUUGCUCUAGCUAGAGCCAGCUGAUGAGUCCGCUACCUCUUCCCAUAACCACCUCUGUGGUCCCCUGAACUACUGCUCCCUACCAGGGCCUUGCCCUUCCCCUGAAUAUCUCUCUGCCUCUCAGUCACAUACAUGGCCUCAUCUUGCUCAACUGAAAGGGCACUCUCAACCGCCUUUGCUAGAGUAGCAAAUCGGUGUGAAGUCACAACAUUCCAGAGCUUAUGCCUCAAACCCCGAAUGAACUUCCAUGUCAAGGCCACUACAUCCAUUUUUCUGGCGAAUCGAUACAGCUGAGAAAAACGUGCCUCAUAGUCCCUAACACUCAUCAGGUUACGCUCUAGGGCUAUGAACUCAAGCUCCAACUGCUCCCUCACAGUAUCAGGAAAAUACUUCUCUCGAAAGAGCUGUACAAAUCCCUCCCAAGUCAAGGCAGUCACAUCUCUAGCUCUCUCUAGCCCGCUCCACCAAACAUGUGCCUCAUCCUUGAGAAGAAACGUGGCAAUACGCAUCUUCUCAAACUCUGUACACGUGAUCAAGGUGAAGUAUGUCUCGAUGCUCUCAAUCCAGUGGUCAGCCACUAAGUAGUCUGUACCUCCAAGAAAUGUGAGCGCCCUUAACCUAAUAAUUCCCUGAGUCAGCCUGGCUAGACGUAGACCGUCAUCUACCACAACUGGAACCGGUGGCUCUAGCUCCACCUCCUCCUCAUAAAAAUCAUCCACAGGUGGAGCCCUACCUCGACCUCUAGCCCUACCUGCUCCUCUGGCCCUACCUCAGCCUCUAGCUCUUCCUCGCGGAGGAUCCAUCACCUAAGAAGCAAGUAAACCUUAGUUAACUCAUGCAUAAAACUUAAACCAAAGUAUAAGUCUAAUACAACAUUUAUUAACCAAGACACUAACUCAAGGUGGAACACAAAGAUUCGAAAUCCCACUAACAGAGUAAUCCCUAUUCUGACAUCCUAUUGACCUAGAGGCGACACCUAACCCUUCACAUACCCAAUGACAUAUCAGUACCGAAGAGCUGGUGAUAGUGAUCCAAUGCAGUCGAGCCAUCACUCUGAAGUAUUGAUUAUCACCAAAUAUGUAAACCUACACUCUGAUACCAAACUGUCACACCUUAAUUUUUGAGGAAAUAGUUUCAAAAAUUUGGGCAUGAUUCACCUAAAAAAAUAAUCCCAAAACCUGUUCAACAAACAUCAAAGAAAUCUAAACUCAAUUGUAGAAAUGUAAAUGUCAACACAACUCAACAUAGAGUUAAAUAUUACAUUUCCAUGUUUACAUCAACUUGAAAGUCAAGAAAAUUAAAACACUCACAUGAGUUUAAUACUGUCUAUCAAAUAUAAUAAUAUAAAGUGUACAACAACUAAAACCCUGCCACUAUGCCUCCGCCUCAAUCCUGCUGAUCAUCACCUAUAGGUCUAACCCCUACACCAUAAAUUGGUGCACUGGGUUGUAAAACAACAAACCCGGUAAGCUAAAAAGCCCGUAUGAGUAACUUCCAAAGAAAAAUAACUCAACAUUCCCAACAUCCAAAUAAAACACAAAAUCAAUUAAUAACAAUAAUUAAAUCCACAAAUCCAACACUUUUACAAAUAACAUAUACCCAUGAGUCUCAUAUACCAAUAAGGUAUCUCCCAUGACCUACAACAAACACAUGUACCCAUGAGUCCUAGAUACUAAUAAAUACCUCCCAUGACCUACAACAACAAUUUAUGUACCCAUGGGUCCCAGAUACCUUAAGGUACCUUUGAUGACCUACACCGACAGACAGACUAACUAGAGCUCUAUUCCUAACCGUAACCAAUCACCCGGCCAAAGGCUUGGACCCCAGUUUUGACUGUCCAAUAUCAAAUCACAAUAUAAUAAUAUCAACAUCAAACAACACAAUAAACACAUCAUAAAAAAAUCUACCAUUUUCACAUAGAUAUAUUUAUGAACACACAUAGCUACUCCCACAAGGAUAAUCUAUCAAUAACCAACAAUAUUAUGAUCACAUGAACCUUAAAAACAAUCAUAUAAUAGGAAAACUUGUUUUAUCUUACCUAUAAGCCGUUGGUGAUCAAACUCAUAUAUUUUAAAACAAAUAAUGACAUAUUCUUUAAUUCAACAUCAACAUCAAAAUGACCAUAAUAAUUCGGUCCAAAUGUGAACCUUGGUGAGAUUUACUCACUUAAAAAAUCAUGCUGCGUGUUCACAAUGAACUCAAGAGCCAAGCUCAAUGUAAAUUCCACAAGCUACCUAAUUAACACAAUUGUUAACCUUUAGUAACCUUCAGAUUAAAGGAUAACAAAACACCCUAAACCUAAUCCUUAGCCCAAAAGAGGACAACCUUCCAAGGUCAUCAAAUUUAACGACCCAAAACUGCUACUUAUAAUUCCCAAAACAGAAACUCAAAACCUUGAACAAGUCUAAGAUUAACCAAAAUGUCAUAGCAUGCAAUCCUUGCUCAAAACCUAGAAUUUCCAUAUCUCAACAAGCUCACAACAACAAGAGCUAGCUAACCAUAGAAACCUAAAGCUUUAAACACUACCAGACGCGCUGCCACAUGCCACCACAGGCGGCGGCGAGUGGGUCCCACUCGCCACCCUGAAACUUCCGAAUUUGAGCAAACUCAAAACAACAAACUUGAAGCUUGAAGCAAGGUGAGCAACUUUAAUACCAGAAGGUUCAACCAGUUCGGCUAGAAUCGGCCGGAAAGUGCCUCGCAACACCACCCCGAAUACAAACUUCAAACUUGCAAAUCCGGUGCCAAACUUGAUAUUUAGGUCACCAAAAAGGUAUAAGCAUCUCUAGAGGAAGAAGGAGAGGAAGACUCACCAAACUCUGCCCUCAAACUCCGUCGAAAUUGUCGACUUUCCGACGAGACCGCAGUAGCUCCGCCGCUUCGUGGUGCCAUCUAGGCAGCAAGACAACGAGCGGCGCUACCCUAGAAAUGGAGAGGGGACCUGUGCGAGUCGAACGGAACCGGUGGCGUCUAGAUUGGUGGCCGAACGACCAAGUUCUACGUUGGUGAAGUUCCGGCGUCGACAAGCUCGGGAGAGAGGAGAGAGAAGAGAGAGAGACUUUCUGAUUUUUAGGGUUUCCAAAAAUAAAACCCCCAACUUUUCUAUUUAUAAACUUUCCAAAAUCGGAAACUAACUUCCUCUGACCGUAACUUUUUCAUACGACAUCUGUUUCACGCGUGCCGCGUGUUUACGAACUCGUAUCGCCAAACUCUACAACUUUCAUGAAGAAAGUUUUUGAACAUAACUUACGAAUAAGAAAGUCAACUUUUGGCCAUUUAAGAAAAAAAGGCACCUUAAUAUAAUUGACUCCCGAAAACUUCAACUUCGCACAAACUAAUAAGAAUUUCCACAAAAUAAUCCUUCAUUAAUUUCGGGAAUAAUACAAGAAAAUUAAUAUGAAAAACUGGGGUAUUAUAGCUAAACUCUUUCGAUGCGCUACAGCUUUCACACUUUCCCUUCCAGGGAUUUCAGCUGCAAAAUUUUGCCAUGCAACUAAGCCGGUUUAAACUCCCUGCAAACCAAGCCUCCAAUGAUGUUGUUGAUUCUCAUGUGCAAUCAGGUAAUAAUUUACAAAUGAUGGCUAACAUUACAGGUACUAAGAGGAGUGUAGAGAAGUCGUGGUGAUAGUGUUUUUUGCUCAAAGCUCAACCUCUAGAGUUGUCUUUCGCCCCGAAGUUCAAUAUAUCCCAUAUGCAUGGUACUCUCACCAUUUCUCCGGCCAAAAAACGUAGGGCAGGGCGCCUGACCUUGAAGAACAAACCUAAGGUUAAGAAUAGUUUGGGUCAGAAAAGGGCACAGAAGAGGACAUUUGGUGCACAUAGGGUGCUGGCUUUGGGUAAAAACCCGGACUCGGGGUUUGAGAAUGUGGGUGUUGCUGCAUCUAAAGUUUGGACAUCAGUGAAUGAGGAGAUUGUUAUUGACUCCUCUAGUUGUUGUAGCUCUAGGGGUAACCCUCUGGAGUAAUUUGUUUUUGUUUUGAAACUUUAACAAGGGCUAGUUUGGUAUUGCUGUGACUUUUAAAAGAAAUUGUUGUUGUUGUACUACGAGAAUAAUUAGCUGUGAAUUAAAAUAGUUUGUGUUUGGUAAAUAGUAGUUUUGAAAGUGUUGCCAAGACAAAAUAUAUUAAUUUCUAGUGUUUUUAAUAGCAACAGCUUCCAAAAGCAACCUUAAAAGCUGUUGCCAAUGACCUGUAAUUGUUUUUAAAAAAAAAAAAUGUAUUUCUUUAGUUUACCAAACACUAUAUUAAAUCUAAAAUUCUGAAUAAAAGCUGAUUUUUUUAAAAAACGAAGCUAUACCAAACGGGGCCUAAGUCGGAUGAUUCUGACAGUUUCGGUUUAUUGAUCAUAGUGCCAAUUUUAGGGUUUACAAUAUCAUAGUGCCUAUUAUGAUCCUGUCAUAUAGGUUAUUUUUCAUAGCUCCUCAUAUAAGUUGCCCUUGCGAGUGUGUACUCCGAUCGUUUCUUGAUCAAAAAAUUACUUAGCGUCCUUCUUAAAAAAAAAAGGUUUUGAGUUUGGAUGAUGCCCUGAAGGGAAUAGAGGCAUAACUGGUAUCUGACUACAACAGCAAAUUCCUAUAUAUUGACUAUAGAUAGGGCCAUGAUGAAGGAUAAAGUGUAGAGACAAAGAGAUAGCAAGAGAAUCAUCAUCUUAUUUAUUGAUAUGAGCCAUUUAUAUAGGGAAUUACACAAUACCAAUAAGGUAAGGAUAUGAAUACAUAGAUCUAGUCAAACUACAUAUCCUAUUGGCAUAAGGCCAAGGCACACAUAAAGAAUAUCUAGAAAGAUACAGAAUAUCCUAGAACACUCCCCCUUGUGUCGCGCGCUGAUAUACCGAUGGUGCUGAUCUGUUGCCUCGUCAAGUCACAAAAACCCUGUGGAAGAAAAACUGAACCUUGAUCGUAGGAGAAAAAGAGUACAACGCACCCUUCACAUUUGAUAGUGACAUGUAUGUAUGUGCUAGACUCCCCCUGAAGUUUGCACCUCCCCCUGAUCUUUACAUCAAUCAUAGGGCUCUUCCUGAUUUUUACUAAUCACGGAAGUUUCAACAACUUAGCAGGUCAAUGCUUUUUAACAUGUCUUCAAAUGUGGCAUUAGGCAAUGAUUAACUAAAUCAUGCCGUAUUAUUCUCAAAUGAUCUUUUACACUUAGAUCUUGAGGAGAAGGCCGCUUGUGAACUUAAAACAUAAGUUCGUGCAGAAAAUCAGAUUUCCGCCCAGCAUGACCUUCAGUUACUAGAACAGUCGUAACUUCCUCUAGGAAAUACAUAUGAACGAACGGUAAACGGUUUUGGAAACUAGACGCAGUUAGCUUUCCAACCGUAUAUUACACACAUUCUGGUUCGUCAGGAGCUGUUCACAAAGUCCCGUCGAAAUAGACUGUUUUGCCAAAAUCAGAUUCUCUGACAGAUUCGUCCUACUUUACGAAAACAGCCGUAACUCACUCAAUAUGAUAGGUAUGAUCAAAUGGUUGGUGUCCCUGGAAAGUAGACACAUAUAUCUUUCCAAUGAUACCAAUUUCACCAUUUUCCAGUGAGUGAGAUUUCCUGUAGGUCCCGUGGAAGUUAACCUACAAAACUUGGCAGAUUCUGAUUUCGUUUUUGAUGUGUCUUUCUUAUGUAGGGAUAGAAUAAGCCUCAACCUUUCAUACCAUUAAGUAUUGAAAAAGGAGUUACUGCCAUUACAUUGGCAUUACGUGGGCGCAUAGCUACACUUAGCUUUACAACUUUUCAUAGCGAAUGAGAUGUCAAGUCUUUCUUGUUGAGUACAUUGAUGCGUCUUAGUGUACUUAGAUGGGAACUCCAUCUCUUAACACAUACUUGUCAUCUUGCUUUAGACAAAACAACGGAUCUCUCUUUAGACCUUGACUAAUCAUGGGAGUAUAUGUAGGCCUCACUAGUUAUAAAGUGCCUAAGCCGAUUGUUGGAAAAUCUUCAUCAAUACAGUCAUCGAGUGCCUUAUCGAGACCGUGUCUUCCCAAGAUUUUUUUCUUCAGAUGUUGAUACAUAUUGGCAUCUCUUGAUCCAUCAAGAAUCUAUGUAAAUCCGGAAUGACCACGCAAAGGCAUAAUUCACCAUAUCCCUUCCAAAUCAAGUAGAGUCCAUUUGCGUUUCAAUACAUUUAGCAAACGCGUGCUCCUGUGGUCUAGAGCCACUUGAUUCAGAAGAAUGAAGUCCGUUUAAGACCUUCAUGUAUAUCUCUAAUCCCAUAGAGAUGUUAUUAUGACCACAUUCAUAGGCUGCAUGUUCAGUUAUUCAGAAACUACCAAACUGACAGAGUAAUGGAGUGCAAUGACAUCCAUUACGAGAGCAUAUCUCAUCGUAGUCGAUCUCAGUGUGUGUUAGUGAGAGACCUUGCGCCACGAGGUGAGUCUAAGCUCUUGUUCUCACUACGCUAUCUAACAAAGACAUAGUUGAUAGGGUUUAGCUUGCGGUGUCGGCAUCACCUGCCCAAGGACCUAUCUCUUUAUCAAUGCUGAAUCGCAUCUUUCCAUUAGGCCAAUCAACUAAGUUGAUAUCCAUCAACGAAGGGUGGUUCGAUAGUAGACUCGUUAUCCCACGUCCUCAUGUACACUAGUGUAAUACUUGUAGAGAUCUCUAUAUGGAUUGGAUUUGACAUUGAGGCGUCCCCCAACGAUAAUCACAAUUCAAACUUCAUGAGACAGAUUUGAGUAUCACUGAUCAAUGGAUCAGGUUGUACCAAGCUCGCUUUCUUCCUAGUGCGAGAAAGUAUAGAACCUAAGGGCCUCCCUCCUUUUGGGGAGCCACACGGCCUUGUGACACCAAUUUUGCCACUAUAUUUUGCCACUAUAUUACGUUGCUAUAUCACCAUCCAUGGUGAUGGCGUCAAGACCAACACCUUUUGGUUGCACCAUAUCCUUUUGUAGGACAUCAAAAUCCUUGCAGACAUAUUUGUAGCAUGUGAUCUCGUCACUUUAACAUUUUAAGCAUUUGGGAUCAAGAUAAGACAUAGUGGGGACAAACCACGAUAAUUCACGUCGUUCCACUUGAACACUUGUGUUCUUAUCUCCCCCUAACGGCGGGAAUAUUGUCUCAUCAAAGUGACCAUCCACAAUAUAGCGGUGAAAGAGAUCACCUGACAAGGUUUCUACAUAUGCGGAUUAUAGGUGGAGGUUCACAUCCAACCUAAAUACUCAUUCAUCUCAAAUGACCCAUCAUUGUGCGCAGUGGCAGUGCGAUUUGGCACCUAGAAUAAACAUCUAGCUGAGCUCAAGGAUUGGAGAUCCGUUUCAAUCCUGCUAAGCUCAAGGAUUGCAAUUUCGUGUCAAUCUUGGUACACAGUCACGAGCUGUAGUACAACAAUAUUCAAUGAUGGUGGGUCGUAGAUGAAUAGUAAAACUGCAUGCAAAUAUUGCAUAGCCCCAAGACGCAAUAGAAAGAUUGGUGCGCAUCAAUAAUGUUCGAGCGACAAGCUAAAGUUGCUUGGUCGUAGCCUCAGUGAGACCGUAUUGCGUGUGAACAUGGGGUACAAGACACUUCAACUUACAUCCCGAUAAACUUCUUUAAAGAAUGGGUAGUGAGCCCGUAGAAGUAUAAGCAACAUAAGCAGUAGAUAAUAGUGUAACACGUGGCCAGUGUGUUAACACUUCAACAACACCAUAAAGCAUAAAAAGGUGUCGGUUGUAUCUAUCUAUAUAGUUUGAUAUAAGAAUUGAAUGUUCACUUUUGUGUUAUUUAGCGUAGGAGGGUCUCACUCCUAAUUUAGCUAAGGAAUAGGCUUUCAAAACGAGCAAUGAGCAUUACAGGGGGCCAAUGCAACAUCGAGGGAAGGCCGGUGCACCUCAAUUGCUUGAGGAAUUGACCAGAUGACCUCCAGAAAGUUGGAGUCGUGUUCGGGUGACGUCAAUGUCCCCCGGGUCACCACCAUGUUUCAUGGUGAUGCCAGAUCUCGAAUGUCUUCGUUUUGAGCGGAAGAAUGGAUGUCCAUAAGAAUUUCUCAAAAUUUGGAUCAUUAUAUCUCUUCCAGGUUGACCAAUUUGGUCAAACCAAAGCCUAUAUGAGUCGGUGUCCCGAAUAUCAUGUUUGGCGACAACAUGGGAUUCGAUAUUCGAAUCGUAGUGACAUACAGUCCACUAGAUUGACUCAUGAAUUUCUCCAAGAUGCGCUUCAGUCCGCAUUCAUGAGAAGGUAUACACAAAAGAAUUCUUGUUCCUUCUCACAAUGUGUUUUCAAAUAAAAACUAUUAGCAGGAAUGUCUUUAAAACUCAAUAUGGUUCGGUUGCCUCUCAAUGUAUAGAGAGCAUCUGUGACGUUGAUCAUGGUGCCAUGAGGCAUCAAGAUUCAAGCUAAACCACGUCCCUGAAUGACCGGUAUGAUUCAAUCAUUGUAGUCACAGAAGAUGUACAAGGCACAAAAUCCAGAGAUAGUUGCCGGUUCCUUAGAAUGUUGUGGAUAGUUCCACUAUCUGCGAGGCACUCAAUGCCUCUAUAAGACAGAUCUACAAAAAUGGAGUAGAUAAGAGAGUUAAUAGUUCCACUUGAACCAUUUAAAAGGAUUGAAAGAAGCUACGAAAAGCAGCAAUCCCGAGAGUGCAUAAAAAUUUCCGCGCAGAAUGACCUUUGUGCACUAAAACAGCCAUAACUUCUUUGUUAAAAUAGAUAUGGACAAACCGCUAAAAGUUCUAAAAACUAGACUCGUAGAGCUUUCCAAUGAUAUAAAGCUCACUGUCUGGUUCGUCCGGAGCUGUUCACAAAGCUCAAACGAAGUUGACUGUUCAGAAGGGACAUAUUGCUGUUUUUCGCAGAAUUGGCAUGUGCGAAGUUGUGAAGCUUGCAAGUGGCGUGUAGGCUUUUGCCUUGGCCAAAAGUGACGUGUGUAUGAUCAAAACCAAGUCCUUUUGGUCGUUCUAAGGUCGUAAGCUCCAUGACUAGUUAGCAAAAGCUCCCUGAUAUGAACAUAAACUAACUCAGAGGACCUAGAGGAUUCGAUCAUGAUGAUAAUUUUCCAGUUUUGAUAAGUCUUCAACGUCUUUUGCAAGACGGCAAUUGGUUUAAUAGUGUAGGGGGAUCCAAAAUCAAAAGCUUUCAGUAACUUCAAGUCAGUAUGACCAGGCAUGUCCGUGGAUGGUCGGUAGUGCGAGGCACAUUUGAAACCACUGUCUCUUUUGGUCGUUCAACAAUAUGUAGUCAAUUAAGGUGGUGAGCAAUCCACUUGACUAAUAACUCAACAAGUAGAGUUAUAUGAACGUUUCAAGAAACGCUCCAUGAGUGCAUUCCACAGUACUUUGUGGUCAUUACUUUUUGCACAGAUUGCCAUUGAAGGCUUUUGUCGAUGUGGCGCGUCAAAGACUUUGAGCGCAUGAGAUGUGAAAUCUCGGCAUCUAGGCUUGUUACUCUGGGGGUCAAAACAUGUGGUUUAAUCCUUUCCAAUGAAAAGGUUCCACAGAUACCAAGCGAAGAUUCGCCUUAGGCAUCGAGUACGUCAAAACUCAAAGGAGCAGAAUGUUACAUUGCUCUUGCAUACAAAACCAAGCUGUUAUGAGACUCGAUAGAGGUCACAAACAAUGCUUUUAAUGGUUUGUCCUUCGGAUUGAUCAUACACAAUCCGAAAAAGCCGCGAAUUGAUCAAACAUAAUUCGGAAAAGGCCUCGGAUUGAUCAAACACAAUCUAGUGAUAGGUCGGGGUUGAUCAUACACAACACGGACAACGAAACAAGAGUGAUCCAACACACUCUUGACCCGCGAAUAAAAUUCCGGGAUUUUUGGUACCUGCAAAUACACCGACCCAAGCAUAGAAUGGAGUAGAAGAAGGGGAGAAAACACUUUAUCUCCCCUGAGGUUAUUGAACUUGGAAGAGUUUUAGGGUUGUAAAAUAAACAUACUGUAAACACUUGGAUGCUUGAUCGGAUGAAAAGAAAAGUAGCGGAGUGGACGGCCGGGAAGCGACGGCGGCGGCCGAGGCAGGGCCAAGAACCUCCAGUUUUGGUUUUUAGGGUUUGGAAAAAAAUGGUGGGCUAUUAGUUCUAGGGUUAAAACAAAGUGCAUGAUAACGUAAUGAAGGAUAAAGUGUAGAGACAAAGAGAUAGCAAGAGAAUCAUCAUCUUAUUCAUUGAUAUGAGCCCUUUUUAUAGGGAAUUACACAAUACCAAUAUGAUAAAGAUAUGAAUACAUAAAUCUAGUCAAACUACAUAUCCUAUUGGCAUAAGGCCAAGGCACACAUAAAGAAUAUCUAGAAAGAUACAGAAUAUCCUAGAACAUGCCAUAAUUAAACAAAAAACAAAAAAAAGAUAAACUUCAUCAACUCAAUAUCAAGCUCAAUUUCAACUUUAGUAUAUUUAGUCAGAGGCUCCAAUGAAGACCUUAUAAUGAGGACCAAGUGAGGACUUUCAAAUGAAUGGUUAGAUAAAUGUUUUAGACUUUAAUUGAUAUCUCCAAAUUCCAAUGUGCAUGUUAUCUAACCGUUCGUUUAAAAGCCCUCACUUAUUUCUCAUUAUAAGGUCAUAAUUGGAACUCAUCGCUUUAGUUUGUAUCUACUUAAUAAUAUAGUUAAACAAAAAUAUCACUUUUACAUGUUUUUUAAUAUGACUAAUUUCAGUUUACCCACAUCAACUUUAGGUCGAUCAUCAUGUUAGUCCAUUUUCUUUCAAUUUCAUCAAAAACACCCCUCAACUUUUAAUUUUCAUUAGCUGUGUCCAAACAUACGUUUUUCAUCCAAUUCUCUCGUCAUGUAAUAACAUGUAUUAAGAAGAAAACCAAAUUUGAAGUCACUAAGCCCACAGAAAAAGAGCAAAAUAGAAAAAUUGCAUUUAAUCCCACCAAAAUCACUAAGGUUAGGGGGUUAUAAUGGGUACGGAGAUAUGUAUCGAUAUGGGGGAAAAUGAUCAGAAAAGUUAUUUUUUCAGAAUUUGGCUUUCUUCUUGAUGCCACGUCAUCACUUGACAGAGGAAUUGGAUGGAGAACAGAGGUUUGGACACGGCUGAUGAAAAUUGGGAGUUGGGGGUGUUUUUGAUGAAAUUAAAAGAAGAAGGACUAACAUGAUGAUCGACCUAAAGUUGAUUGAGGUAAACUGAAAUUAGUCCUUUUUAAUAAUAUAGUUAAACAAAAAUAUCACUUUUACAUGUUUGCCAAGAGUAACUAAAGAGUUGUAAUCCGUAUAUCCUUCGAUUCUAGAUGAAUUUAAAUGCAUAAUGAGUAUUACUAUAAUAUUAUUUCUAUAGCUCUAAUAUAGUUGAGAACAAAAAGGAACAUUUGUGAAGAUCUAGCGGAAGUAUCACUAUCCUCUCCCUCGGCUGUGAAGAUGUGGCAAUUCAUGACUCAUGAGUAUUCUGAAAGAAUAGAUAGGGUUGGGGUUUUUGCCCAGAAGUGGGAGAUAAAGCUCAAGGAAUUUGUGUUCCAUUCCUUGGGACCAUAAGGUCAUGGAUCUCGCUGAGGCUUUGUUUUUUUUUUUUUUUUGGCAUUUUUCCUGGUCAAAAGACUUGGAAAGCUAGAGUAAGGAGAAUGAAAAACCCAGAAAAAGAUCCAUUCGUAUCUUGUUUUUGCCUCUAAAUGAAAUGAUUGGUGAUUUAUCUACUCUCGUUUCGUUUGGUAAACUUAUGAAAAAUUGACUUUUCGUAGUAGAGAAAUCCAGAGAAGUUGGUUGAAACACAUGCAUCUCGUUACAUUUUGUUCACCAAUUUUUUGACACCAAGGGCGCCCUUGUUUUCCUUCAUUCUGAUUGAUUGGUGUGUUUGAAGCCUUGGAUGCCUUGCUGCCAGAAAAUAUAUAUAUAUAUAUAUAUAUAUAUUGUCAGACUUUCAUAACACAUCUGGUUACAGACGUGGGAUACAAAUUAUCCAUCCAUGAUUCACUCCAUGUGCCUUGAGUCAACGACGACUUUCUCUCUCCAACCUUCAAAACGAAAAUCAGGAACUCUCUCUCUCUCUUUUCAACCGCCUUUGCACAUUUAGACCCACUCCAUCAUAAUCCGAUCGCCGGAUCUAUUGGCUAUGUUGUCGUCGCCAUGAAUAUUUGCCAUGAAUUCAAUAUUGAAAAGGAAUUGAUAUUUUUUAUCUAUGGCACUAUGGCAGUAUUGAUCGAGCUUAUGUUUCUUUUUAAAUUAUUAAUUAAUCUAAUUUCCAAUCCAACUUGCAUUCCAAUGCUCCAAACACCGGGUAGGAUUGACUUUAAUCCAAUCUGCUUAAAGUCCAAUCCAUAUCAGACAUGGAUCAAUACUUAUUUAAUCUAGUUAGGUCUGCCAAACAUGGCCCAAAGGCCUAUGCCUACCUUUAUAGGAGUAGAAAUCGGGGACAAUUACUUAUAAAUGCCGCGCUCACGUGUGUGAAUAUCGGUUUUAUUUUUUGGAGAUUGAUCUGUUCUUAAAAAGCCAAGUAUUAUACUUUAAUUUUGUGAUCAUUUUCCAUCAACCUCAACCGAAACAUCAGACCAAGAAAAAAAAAAACCCCUCAGCCGAAACAUACAAUAAUUGAGCACAAAAGCGUCUUGAAUCAUAUGUUUUGAUACAUAAACCACUAGGAUCCCAAGUACGAGACCAACAACGACUGAGACUAAAAUCGUCAUCCCACAACGACCAAAAGAGACUUAUGGCCCCAGCCCAAACCCCCACCGCUCGUACUCGCUCACAAUCAACACGUCGACGAACCGGUCUUUGUUCUAGGAAUAUUACAACACCAUUGUUAUGUUGUCUAGGGAUUGCAAUGCCUGCUCAGAACCUAUUGGUAUAUGUUGGUAUUGGCAUCUUUAUACAAAAUAGAAGAAGUGCGAGCAAGAAAGUUCUAAUUUGAUUAGGAUUUGUUUAUAUAUGGUUUAAUAUAUAUAUGAUUGAUGUGCCUCAUUGAUAUACUUGAGUUUUUGAAUGAUUAUAUGUCUUGAUUGAGUCAAUAUUGCAGAUUUGGUGUAAUUGAGUCCUAACUUCGUAAGGAUCUCAUACACUUGAUUACUAUGUGGUUAAAGAAAUGAAGGUCUAUUAUGAAUAGGUCUUUGGUGAUAUUUGUAUCCAUGUUAAUUGAUACAAGGAGGCUAAGUGGGGAAAGAAAUCCUACUUGGUUUAGGAUAUUCUUUUAUGUUGUUUAAUAAUAUCUCAUGAUUUAUUUCCAUGAUUUGAUUCUGAUUAGAAUUCCUUUCUUGGAUAUUUAUUAGGGUUGUUGGCGCAAGAGUAUUGAAGUGAUAUAUAAAGAAGACGCAAACGUCUUGAAAGCUACCUUUACAUGCAUUGCGAGAUAGUAUUUUCUACUCCAGAACUUUGUAAGGUCAGAAGUUCCACUUUUUCUUGUCUAUGUGAUUGAAGGAUCAAGAACGUGCAUGGUUAGUUCAUUUGAGAUUGAAGAAGAAGAUUACUUAAAGAAAAAGAGUGCGUCAAACAUAUCUGCUAGGGUUCUAGAAAUAGUAGCCACGUUCAGUGCUACAUAGUUUCUAAUUGAGUAGUUCUAAUUCAUAGUCUAUUGCUUUUUCAUUAGGGGCUUUCAAGAGUUAAAAAUACGACAGUGUUUUUCCUCAAAUUGAUGUUUCACUGGAUAAACAAACUGAUGUGUUUUUUAUUUUCGUUUAUGUUCAGUACGCCCAGGACACUGUUUCAAUCUCGAUUACCCAGAAAAUGUCUAUGUUAGUGUCUUUAGAACCACCACUUACUAGCCGUAGUGAUAAUGGUUAAAAGCAGAAAACCUGCUGGCGCUCAAAACGUGUCGCCAGAUAUGGCUCGAUAUCCACCCAACAUAAGCUGCCUCUGUUCUAAUGCUGAUUGCCUUAGUGAAACGCUCUACUUCUAGUAGCCCAACUCCAUUUACAGAACACUAACCCAACAAAAAUCAAGGAGAGUCUAUUGUAGUUCAAGAGGGUGAGAAGGAGAGAGAAGAAGGUUAAGCCAAAGGCAUAUUGUAACACCCGAAAAAUUUGACAAGCUUAAUUUGAGGUCAUUGGUAAAUAGUUUAUCGACCUCGAUGGUUUUAAAAUGGGAUUGACGAGAUUUUCUGAAAUUUUUACUUGGUCAAGUUUCUUGAUUAAGAGUUGGAUAAUAAAGUACGUUUUACGAUGAGUUCGUGGAAUAUUUCAGAGUUCCGAGCUAUUUUAUAUGAAUUUCUAAAGUUUUAAAAAUUCAGAAAAUUAUUCGGAAUAAUAAGAAAAUUAUGCGGUGAGAUCUGGACCAUUGAAAUUUAGACCGUUAAAUCUCAGUUUGUAAAAACAUGUCGGUCGUGAGUAUUUGAAGGGUGCUGACUCGGUCAAAGUCGUCAGACCGACUCAGCUUUCUCCCCCGACUGGACGCCAACCUCCGACGCCACCCUUGCCAAUAGUGGCGAACCUACAUUACUGCCCGGGAGGGUCUGGACCCCGGUUGGGUUUUUUAGUUGUCUUAAUUACCUUUAAUUGGAUAGUUUAGUUAUAGCAAGACCCCCCCCCGGCCUUGAAAUCCUGGCUCCGCCACCGCCAACAGGCCACCUUUAGACGUCGCAUCACCACCAGCCUGAUCGUCUAGCCAUCGCCGACGCACCUCUGACCCUGGUUUUUCUGAUCGGCCGUUGUAGGAAGAGAAACGACGGCGAGAAGCUUCUGCUCCUCCUCCGAGUUUUGGGUAUUCCGGCGACUUCGGCCGCCGUUUGGUCUGCAUGUGGUAAGUUUCUUGCUUCUCUCCUCGUUCGCUACAACUCUAUCAAUCUGAUUAUCAAAAAUCAAUACAAUUCUGACAUUUGUGCAAUCUUGGGAUUUCGCGUUAGACGCUGCCGACGAGUUUUCCGACGACGUUACUGUUUUCCUCAGACCGUCUCUUCUCUUGUUUUCUGACGAACACAGGGAAGUAAGUGGAGAGUAGGAGGGCUUCACCGAAGCCUUGUCCAACCUCAAUUCUUCAGAAAAUUGGAGUUCAGAUUUUGAUGAGAAGGUGAAUUGAGUUCUGCUAUUUUCCUUACGGAUUUAGCGUGUGGUUGUAUCGUUGGUUAAGAGAAUAUUUAUUUUGCUAAAACCUGGAAGAAUGAGCAGAGGAAGGGCUAUUCAUAGUUCGCUGUUCUGUUUUUGGGACUGUGAUGCGUUCAAAAGGGUGCAGUUAGCAGAAUGAGGAAAUUGGCUUGAAUCCAGAGAUUGUAAGGUUCGACUAAUUCUAUUCUAUUUGUCCGUCUUGGAAUGUUGGUUAUUGGUUUGUGUCAAUUUUAUAGGUUACUUUGUCCACCACUGGUGCUAUAUAUCAUGCUUUGAGAUUAAGAGUUGGAGUCAUAUUUGGUAUCAUGAAGUCUGGGUUAUGAUUUGAAAUUAAAGAAUUACACGGUCUUGACAUAGUGUUCAAGUUGGAAUUGCAUAUUGGGAUUUUAAUUUGGAAUGAGCUUGAGUUAGUAUUUCUAGCCAUUAUGAAGUUUGGUUUGUAAUUGAGUAAGAUGAGACAAUGAGAAUUUGUCUCGGUGGGUGUCUUUAGUAGAUAUGGACACACCAAUGUAAAAAUAGGGAGGAUAUAGUCAUAUACAUUGAUGUAGUUGGGUGAUCAUAGUAAUUGUACGUUCAAUUACUUAUGUGAUAUAUUGUCAAAUUAAAGUGGUUGAUGUGUUAAAGGGAUGGAUAUCGAAUGCUAUAUCGAUUUCUAGUUAAAGUUCGAUAAUAGGGAACCAAAUGUUGGAUUCGUUACGAGAUUGGUCAUAAGAAAAUUAAUAAAGAAAAUCGAUUGGUCGAGCACCGUUGAAGUUGGUUACAUAGAAAAGGUUGAUUUGACGAUUAGUGUUUCGUCAUCGUGAUUUCUUAUCCCUAUAUGAUGAGUUAAGGGACUCCAGUUACCCGAGGAGCAGGAUGCUCGUGAUUCUCGGAGUUCGUGAGGAAAGCCUCAGAAUCCAAAUAGGGACCCGGAACAACCUUGAUUAAUGAUAUUUGUUUUAUAAAAUGUUUAUGCAUAUAUGAUAUUGCAUAAUCCGGUUAUCCGAUAAAAAUAUGAUAACUGGUGUUAUGAGAUAUUGAUGGCUUGAGAGUGAGAGGAGCAUAGCGACUACCUUGGGUUCAAUCCCCUAAACCUCCGGAGGGGCCUUUAUGGACGGAAGAGUGUCUUACAUCCCUUGUGGAGUGGCACUGCUUUUAGGCGAUAGGGCGUUUGUGGACACUCUCACUACAUUACCUUUUGUACACAUAUAGAGUGAGGUAAGUUGGGUAGUGGGUCUAAAAAGGACCGGUCAUCAGGUACAGUUUUAUGACGCCGCAUUUAUUUGAUCAUAUAAAUGUUUUUGAAAGUUUGUCGUUCAUUAAAUAUUUGGAUUCAAUCUUGUUUUUAUACUGGGCCUUGUGAAACUAUUUCUUUAUCUGUUUUCAAGAGUUCGUUGAGCAGCGAGGACGAAAGCUCACCCCUACAACAAUUUGUGGAUGCAGGUACUGUGCACUAGGACGGGAUAGUGGCGAGGAGUUGGGUGUGCAUAUUUAUGAUUGGUAACUUAGUUUCUAUAUUGUCCGCUUUAUUUUUUAUAUUUGAGUUUCAUGUACCAAAUUAUUUCUUGUUGGUCUUAUUAUGUUCUACUUCGUAAUUUUAUUUCUUUAAGUUUAUUUAUUAUUGGUCAUUCCGUAAAUCAAAUUUUAGGCAAAGGAGAAAGCCCAAUCCUAUUAUGAGUUUGCUUUAUGAUACUCUAAUUGAUAAUUUGUAUUCCUUUGAGUUCAUGAUUUCAUAAUCAUUCCUUGUAUCAUGUUUUUGGUGAAUAAUUAAAGUAGUUUGAGAAAAAUUAAGUUUUCCACCUCAAAAUGUUUUUACGCUUCUGUUGUGUUUUUCUUAAAUGUUUUCUUACAUUAACUGCCUUGCGUUUCUCUUUUUGAGACUCGCAGCACUGUGACGUGCCUAAACUGAGGAACUGAGGAGGUGCAAUUUGGGGCGUUACACAUAUACUGAUGGAAAACGAUGCCUGAAACGACGACCAAAAAGCCCCGCUAAACCCAUAUCGAUGCUCAAGUAGCAGGCGGCAAGGUGAAAUACUAGCAAAGCGACUCCCUACUAAAAUUCUUAACUUAGCUUCUCUUUUCAUGUGCUCUGUGCCAGGAUUGUUGGAUCAUAAUUCAUAGAUAAUUUUGUGUCCUAAUUCUUGAGAAUUACUUGUUCUAAAGUCCAUUUUGUUGUCAACUAAUCCAAUUCCAUGUUUUGUAGAAAAUAUUGACAAGAGAAGAGAAACGGUGAAAUUUCGGCGAUUUUCCGAGCACCACCACUUUUGGCGGCCCAAGUAGCGGUGCACCAUCCCUUUUGGUGGUGUUAUGUAUUUUCCGGCCAUCUUCAUAGUAGAGGAGGGAAGGAGGAGCAAGAGUUGUUUCAUCACAACUAAGUCCUAACCUUCUAGUUCAAAUUGACCUAAAUCACCUUUCCCUCUUUCCCACUCAUCCAUCCCUUUUGCCCAAAAGUCCAUGAAUCCCUACAAAAUCCAUCAUGUAUUUGUAGGUGAAUCACCACUUUAUCCUACACCUUUUCUCUCCAUCAUUACCUUUUCUCUUACACCUUCCUUCCCACCACCUUUUGCCUUGUUUUUGGCAAAGUUACGGCCAUGUUCACACUCAUUCUUGGGAGCAAAUCGGAUAGGAGAAGAAGAAAAGCUGAUUUCGUGUUGGCCACUCCUACAUUUUCAUUCAUCUUCAAUUUAUAUUUGAAUCUCCCUUCACCCAUUUCCACACCACUUCCCACUUCACACUCUACCUCAUUUUCUCUCUCUAAUAUCCAUUAGAGAACCAUCACCACUCCUCCACAAAACCUCCAUCUCCAUCACCACCAAAUUCAUCACUUUCCCCUUCUACUCAUCUCAUUCCAUAUACACAAAGCUUCAUCAUUUUACCAUUCAUCAAUUUCACCUUCUAUUAUCAAGCAAGGAGAAGGAAGAGGAGUCUAGCAUCAUUUGAGGAUAUUAUCACCAUCACCUCCAUCAUCUCAUGACAAAGAUUCCAUGAGUUCAUCCACUUCAUCCUCAACUUGAGCAUAGUCACUUUUCUUCCCUUACUCUUUACUUAGAUGUCUAUGAACAUUUUGAAGCUUGUAUAUUUGACUAUGAGUGAGUAGUUAGUUUGUUGGGGCUAGGGUUCAAAGCCCUAGCCAAUCUUGUAUGACUUUGAUGUUAAUAUUAUGAUUGAUGCACUUUUCAUUAGCACCUUAAUAUGCUAGAUCAAGAGUUGAACAUUCAUGCUUGAACUUAAUCAAUUUGGGUAUGUUUGUUUGCCAUGACAUGAGAAAUAAUUAGGGUUUGAUUAACCUUAGUUGUUUGAAGCAUGAUAGCAUAUCAUAUGUGCAUGUUAGGGUUGUGAGCUACAAUCACUUAGAGAUAAGCUUGGUAAUUUCUUCAUCUCCAAACGUUAUGCACUUAGGGUAAUGCAUUAGAUUCCUAAUCUGGUUGAAAUGCAUGACUUAGGUAGUUAAGUAUUACACCCAAGAGGGGUUGCUUGAUAUCACAAAUGAGAAUGUCCCUUGUCAUACCCGAGAGUGAUGCAAGGAGAGAAAUUGGCUAAUUAAAAUGACAUCAUUCACUUUAGAAGCAAGGGAGGCUAGAGGUGAAAACCUUAAGUCCCAACUCCCAUCCAUUUCAUCACAUCUAAUUUAGCUUAGCCUAGUUUACAUUCCAAGUUUACAUUGAGCAAGUUCCGAAUUGAAUAAUUUCCAAAACCAAAAAUCAAAUCUACCCCAUAUUGCAUAUAAUCACCAUGAACUUUGGUUCACUUGUGAGCCUUUAUUUGUGACUUGUACAUUUGCAUAGUCUUUUUAGCAUCCUUUAGGUUUUCCUAGUUAGAAUGGGUUUACUAAUCCCUUGGAUACGAUAUUCUUUACUCAUAAUCCCUACACUAUAACUUGGCCCUUAUACUUGAGGGUGGCUUUUUCGCUAACAAGGACUUCGACCCAACUUGAUUAAAAAUAAGAAUUAAAUUCAAUUUACCCCACUAUGGCUUAGAGGUGAAUUCAUGUUAGUCCCUAAACUUUCAAUUUCAUCAGAUUACCCCUUGAGCAUUUGUUUUUCUGAUAAUUUAGCUUCUCAGCCCCCUAAACGUCAUCACACGUCAUCAAAUUUCAACGUCCCAAUUGGACAGAGCAUGAGUAAUAUGAGACGGCAGACAGAAAAACAAGAGCUCGGAGGGUAAUCUGAUGAAAUUGAAAGUUUAGGGACUAAUAUGAAUUCACCUCUAAACCAUAGUGGGGUAAACUGAAUUUAAUUCUAAAAAUAAAAUCAAAACUCAUGUUCUUCCUAUGAUAUUGUGAAGUAGAAAACUCAUUGUGAUUGACACAAAGUUUUACAUAUAUUUUUGUAAAUAGAGUAUUUCAAUUUCUAUAGAAAUUUCAAAACCAUGGGAAUUAUAAUUCCAUGAAUUUCAAUUUUAGUGAUUGAGAAUUCCUUUGUUUGGAUUUCAUGACGUAGAGUUUUAAAAUGACAAGAAUUAGUAUUUAGACUAAUCUCUUUUAAUGAAAUUAUUAAAUGAUGCAUAUUUUGUAAAUGAAUUCAAGUCGGGAAUUUAAGCUCCUAAAUUCCACGAUCAUUUUCCCGUGAAAAUGGCUAAUUUCAUGGGAUAGGAGUCCAAACGCUGAAAAUAGGAUUUUGCAACAUAUUUUUAUGAAUAAUCACAAAUUUCAAGGUAAGUAACAAAAACUUUCAGUAAAUUUCGAGACUCUUGAUAAAAAUGAUAUAGCACAAGGAUUAUGUUUUGCUACUUCUAAAUUACAGAAAUUUCAUCAAAAACUGCGGCAAUUAUAGGAAAAAUUUAAAUCUUGGCAAUACCCAUGCAUGUCAUCAACAACUGGAGGGGCAGUGGAUAUGGAGUUUUUUGUUUUGUUUUUGGUUACAGUAAAACACUUAAUAGGUUAAAAUUACAUGGAAAUUUACUUUCAACUUUUUUCAUAUCUAAAAAAGUUCAAAGCCCAUCUCCAUUUAGUUUUAACUUGUUAGGUCUAUUAAAGUACAAAUUACAAGGCUUAAUGAAAAAGCCCAAAUAAAAAGAAACCCUAGCACUAACAUCUACAUCUUUCCCAGCCGCUGACAACACAGUUUAGCAAUCAACGACAUGUACACCUUCAUGCAAAACCGCAACUCGUGGAGAGAUCCGGCAACAAGAAUCCAAGCCAAGCUAUCCCAAAAAUAAAAAACCUAAAAACAUUGAAAGACUCACAACAAUCCAACCAUGAAUCUAUCAUCUCUACCUACUAACUUAUCAAAACCAUCUCUUCUAAUUUACAAGCACCACUCAAAAAACCAUGAGCCAAAAACACCCAUAACACCAAGAACGAAAAGAAAAUAGGACAAGGCAGGAGGUGGUGCAUGCACCCGAUUCAAGACUCUACACACCUUUCAGUUGAUCCGCAACGAUUCGCGUUUAGGAGUAGGCGCAGCAGAUUCAAAGAUAUGACAUCGAAGAAGCGUAGGCGAGAGCAGGUCUAAGACUAAAAAUAUGGGAGGAGAUGGGUGAAAAGUUUGAUUUUAGGGUGAGGAAUUGGGCAUGAUCUAGGCUGAAAUAGCAAAAAAAGAAUUAAAAAAACAAAAGCAUGAAAGACUGAGAUUAACUCACUAUCAAGGGUGAGAACUCACUACCAGGAGCGAAGAAUCACCACAAGAGUGAGGCAAACCGGGAGACUACAAAACUUGGGGGGUUGGGGGGGGUGGGGGGGGUGGGGUGUGGGAGGGGGAGAGAGAGUAGUCUGUGUUUAGCAGUUAUGGACACACCUGUCGGCGGCAAAAAAAGCAGCAACAUUCUACUCAAUGUCUCUAUGGUGUAAAGGGUAAAGAACCAAAAAUUUUACUUGAGUUAUUAAUGACGAAACCGGUUAGAUUCCUUAAAACAAAAAAUAUAAUAAUUGAAUGACUAGACAACUUUUCGCUACUGAAGAGAAUUCUUAAACCUGAGAAACUGCUGAAGAGAAAAGUCUCUGAUAGGUUCUGUAUUAAACCUAAGAACACAGAACCUAUCACACAUUUCAGGCAUAUCAGAAACUGCUCAUCACCAGGUACUAGAAUACAAGCAAAAAAAGCAGCAACAUUCUACUCAAUAUGUCUCUAUGGUGUAAAGGGUAAAGAACCAAAAGUUUUACUUGAUUUAUUAAUGACAAACCUUAUUAAUGACGAAACCGAUUAGAUUCCUUAAAAACAAAAAAUAUAAUAAUUGAAUGACUUGACAACUUUUCUCUACUGAAGAGAUCUUAAACCUGAGAAACUGCUGAAGAGAAAAGUCUCUGAUAGGUUCUGUAUUAAACCUAAGAACACAGAACCUAUCACACAUUUCAGGCAUAUCAGAAACUGCUCAUCACCAGGUACUAGAAUACAAGUGCUAAACAAUAUGAUAGUUUAAUUUUUGUUCCAGUUCCCAUCAAGUCCACCACAGAAUAAUACACUGGGAGUAAACUAGCAAAUCUUAACCAAUUGAACCAAACUAUGCAUUAGCUAAGCAACCAUGCACAUCAGCGAAUGCCAACUAAUAUUUAUCAGCAUCUUAAUGUCCAAGAUUUAUUAUUCACCUCAACUUAGAGGCAAAGGUUAAUGGAGGAGAUUAAUUAUGUCCGGGUUGUGGUACAUAGAGGUCAAUGUUAUCAACUUUUCUAGUGCUCAUAAAAUCGGCGUCUUAGGGGCAAGUGUGGUAUUGUUCUUCUGCAUCAUGAUUUUAUAUCCCGUGGUUACAGAUCAGUUUAAUGAGGCAACAUUUUUCUAAACUCCUCUUCAGAUGAAACCUUCACUCUCUAAUACGAAAAUAUGUGGUAUGAAUCACCGUAACAAGAUUCAUGUCAUUCAACAACAUCAGAAGUACAAAUUCACAAUGUUAAAGUCCAGAUUUAAUAAAACUGGUGCCAAGUAAUUCCAUUACAAGAUGAAAUAGAAGACUUAACAAUUCAUACACAGAUGGCCAAAUUUGGUGAAUAAAAGAGUUACCACAGUAGAGGCACCCCUAAUCCAAAUGACCACUCAAACAACCUUUUACCAUAGUUUAAGCUACAUUGGGUUCUUAGGUAAGACUCCUAUCCAUUGUAUCCAUGAUUCAACUCUGCCUGCAUGCCCUGCCCAAAAUUUUCACAUCAAAUUUAGAGACCACAGUUUUCUAUACCUACCUAAUGUGCACACUGCUCAGUAUUUACAAUUGCUAAAGCAAACGAAAUCAGUUGGAUUCAUUGAAACUAAGACAUAAACGAAGCAAGCUAAGAAAAUAGAGUGAAGAAGCAAGACUGACCUAAUUACAAAACGAAGCCCUUCAAGUACUCGGGGUCUCGCUUUGCCCUCUCCUGGAACUUCUUGAACCACCGAUCCAAUAUAUCCAUGGGCACCACCAGCUUGGAGCCAUCGACGCCACAAAACGACUGCAUAAAAUUGAACAGAUUCUCCCCAACCUUCAUCGCCAGACGCUCAAUUCGUUUCUCGGCGGUGACGUCCAGCGACGGCAGCGUGGCCAGGUCCUCGACGGAGACCCCGAUCUUGGCGGAGAGCUGUGCCGCGUCGGCGGUGAGCUGGAGCUGGUCGCCGGGCUCCGGCCAUGGGAGGGCGAGCACCGCCGAGGGGCGAGCGACGGUGACGGCGCCGCAGAAGAAGAAGGCGGAGCCGGGAGACUGGAUGUAAACGGCAAGGGCUUUGUCCGGCGGCAGCUGGAAGCCGUUUAAUAGGAAUAUGCACAUUUCACGAACCUGAUCGUACGCCUCACCUGUGCCGGAGAGGAUUAGAAAAGAAGAAUAAAUUUUUAAGGAGGAAAACAGGAUUGAUUUGAUUUGAUUGAUUACCUACGAAGGUGUUCAUGUCGAGGACCCAAUGGAAAGUGUCGAUCUGGGAGAAGGAGGUGAUGUCCAUUGGGAAGCUACGGUUGGGGAAAACAACCCCGAACAUUUUCUCCUUGUUUGUUUCUGUCGAGUGAAGUUUAGGGGUUUAGGGUUUCGUUGAGCAGUGGAGAGGAGCAGGAGGAGAGCUAAUGUAAAGGAGAUGUGAGAAUCCUCCGGUAUACUCUAGAUUUUGGGGUCGUAGAUUUUGGGGUCGUCUAUCUAGAAACAACAUUUUAAAUGACCUGUGAUUAAGUAGGGCCGGGCAUGAGACUGCAUGGACGGGAUUCAUCAAAUUCAUCUCAUCCUGAAAAUAAAAGAACGGGACGAGAUGGUACGAGAAUGUCGUUUUUAAGAAUUAAUCAUUUCUCGUCCCGUCCUGUUUGGAUCAGGACGGGAUCGGGUCGUUCCGACAUAAUAGCUAAAAUUGAAAAUCAUCCAAAAAUAUUAAAAAUUAAUAAAAUAAAUAAAAAAAGAGUAAUUAAUGUUCAUAAUAAUACAAAUAAAGAAAACUCUUAACAAUUUUACUUCCUCAAUUUAGUUAUUUCCCAAAAUAUCUAUAUAAAAUCCUUUGCUUUUCCCUUGUAUUAUGAAAAAUUGAGAAAACUCUUAACAACAAAACCCUAUAUAAAGUAAUAAAUAUCGAUAAAUGAAUAUUGGUCAUUUAUCAAUAAUAUAAUAACUUCUCUAAAGUAUAAUUUUUCAUGUUUCUAACAUUAUUUAUUUGUAGAGGUUUUAUUGUAGAUAGAAGAGAAAGGUUGUUAAGUGUCCUUGUGAGGGUAAUUGGGAGUGCAUGAAAUGAAAGUGUCAUUGAGAAAUCAUCUAAGAGAUGUCAUUAAUUUCAUACAACCUAAAGAAAUAGACGUAUAUAAUCUAAUACAACAUAAAAAAAUGAGAUAUUUUAAUAUCGCGGGACGGGACGGGACGAGAUUUUUCGAGAUAGUCCUGAUCUUGUCCCGUCCCGUUUCAAAAUUCAAUAACGGGACGGGACGGUACGGUAUAGGCAUUUUUAAAACUCUAUAGCGUCCCGUCCGAUCCCAUCCAGUUAACUUUCGAUACGGGACCGUUACGGGGUCGAGAUUCAGGUACUAAGUGCCCAGCCUUAUGAUUAAGGGUUAAAAUAUCGGUAUCUGUCAAUGUUCUAAAAUACACUAGGCAGACAGGCGGUCACUAGCGCCUAGGCAGGUUAAUCGGGGGAUUAAUCGGUUUUCUCCCUCUCUAGACAGACCAUAAUCGAAACGAUGAAGCACCACCUAACGCCUAGACGGAGAUUAAUCGGCUCUAGGCGGGGUCUACCUUGUCUGCUCUAGGCAGGCAACAAGUUCCUUGUUUCGUCAAAUGGGCGUUGCCGCCUAGUGGUAGGGUGAAGCUACGUGUCGUUGGACUUGUUUUCCAUCAACAACAUAGUGGGAAAGCUGUGUAUUUGGCAACUAUGCUUGGUAGUAGUCGAGUUAUCUUUCUGGUAUGUUAUCGUUAUAUUAAAGCAAAUGGAGUAGUCAUUAUAGCACUCUUUGCUAAUUGGUGCCUAGUUGAGUACAUGUUUAUUGGUCAUGAUAAUAUUUCAAGUCUUUGUAAUCAUGAGUUUCAUUUAUUAAGGCUUGAGGGCAGCCGCACCAACCCUUUUAUUCAAAAAAAAAGAAAAAAAAGGACAUAUCGGAUCAGGAAUACAUGAGAAAAUAAUAUUUUAUUCUGAUAUAUUUAAUUCAAAAAUUUAUAUAUGAAUAGAUAUAAACAUUAACUUCUACAUGUAGGUCAUAUAUUUCUCUGCAUAAAC
rnacentral:lncRNA from 1 species